rnacentral:lncRNA from 1 species
CUCCAAAGUGUUUCCAUCUCAUUCCUGAGGAAGCGUUUCUCUCGGAAGAGCAUCUCAGCCUCCGGCCAGUGCUCACCGCCCAGAGCCUCUUCAGGGAUACCUGAAAUAGCAGGAAAAUAGUGAGCAUUAUCCGCAGCACAGUUCCAACUUUAAAAGGGGAGAAGUUCUGACCUAUGCUACAACAUGGAUGAACCUGGAGGACAUUAUGCUGAGUGAAAUAAGCCAGCUACAAAGAGGACAAAUACUGCCUGAUUUCACUGACAUGAAGGACCUAGAGCAGUCAAGACCAUAGAGACAGAAGCCAUUUGACUCUGUGGCUCCUAACACCUACGAGAGACCUGAGAGGCCCUUGGAAAGGAGUAACUGAGAGCAGCACGGUCCCUAACCAAGAACAGACACAUGUGCAGGCCGGAUUCUGUGUUUCCAAGGAGCAGGCAGGAAACAGAUGUGCACCCAAACCGGAGCACUGAAGAGAGUUGAAUGAAGAGACCGUAAGAAGCGCACAGGCAAGGAGACUAACAAGCAGUGCU